rnacentral:misc_RNA from 1 species
GAAGGAUCAUUACAGAAUGAAAAGUGCUUAACUGCAUUUUUUCUUACACAUGUGUUUUUCUUUUUUUGAAAACUUUGCUUUGGUAGGCCUUCUAUAUGGGGCCUGCCAGAGAUUAAACUCAACCAAAUUUUAUUUAAUGUCAACCGAUUAUUUAAUAGUCAAAACUUUCAACAACGGAUCUCUUGGUUCUCGCAUCGAUGAAGAACGCAGCGAAAUGCGAUAAGUAAUAUGAAUUGCAGAUAUUCGUGAAUCAUCGAAUCUUUGAACGCACAUUGCGCCCUUUGGUAUUCCAAAGGGCAUGCCUGUUUGAGCGUCAUUUCUCCCUCAAACCCUCGGGUUUGGUGUUGAGCGAUACGCUGGGUUUGCUUGAAAGAAAGGCGGAGUAUAAACUAAUGGAUAGGUUUUUUCCACUCAUUGGUACAAACUCCAAAACUUCUUCCAAAUUCGACCUCAAAUCAGGUAGGACUACCCGCUGAACUUAA